rnacentral:rRNA from 1 species
GAUGAACGCUGGCGGCGUGCCUAAUACAUGCCAGUCGAGCGAACGGACGAGAAGCUUGCUUCUCUGAUGUUAGCGGCGGACGGGUGAGUAACACGUGGAUAACCUACCUAUAAGACUGGGAUAACUUCGGGAAACCGGAGCUAAUACCGGAUGAUAUUUUGAACCGCAUGGUUCAAAAGUGAAAGACGGUCUUGCUGUCACUUAUAGAUGGAUCCGCGCUGCAUUAGCUAGUUGGUAAGGUAACGGCUUACCAAGGCAACGAUGCAUAGCCGACCUGAGAGGGUGAUCGGCCACACUGGAACUGGGCCGGGGUCCAGACUCCUACGGGAGGCAGCAGUAGGGAAUCUUCCGCAAUGGGCGAAAGCCUGACGGAGCAACGCGGCGUGAGUGAUGAAGGUCUUCGGAUCGUAAAACUCUGUUAUUAGGGAAGAACAUAUGUGUAAGUAACUGUGCACAUCUUGACGGUACCUAAUCAGAAAGCCACGGCUAACUACGUG